rnacentral:rRNA from 1 species
UACGAAGGGGGCUAGCGUUGUUCGGAAUCACUGGGCGUAAAGGGUGCGCAGGCGGGUUCAUAAGUCAGGGGUGAAAUCCCGAGGCUCAACCUCGGAACUGCCUUUGAUACUGUGGAUCUUGAGUCCGGAAGAGGUGAGUGGAACUGCGAGUGUAGAGGUGAAAUUCGUAGAUAUUCGCAAGAACACCGGUGGCGAAGGCGGCUCACUGGACGACUGUUGACGCUGAGGUGCGAAAGCGUGGGGAGCAAACAGG